rnacentral:rRNA from 1 species
UACGUAGGGGGCGAGCGUUGUCCGGAUUUAUUGGGCGUAAAGGGCGUGUAGGCGGCCAGAUAAGUCGGGAGUGAAACCCCGGGGCUUAACCCCGGGCCUGCUUCCGAAACUGUAUGGCUUGAGUGCUCUAGAGGGCAGUGGAAUUCCCGGUGUAGCAGUGAAAUGCGUAGAGAUCGGGAGGAACACCAGUGGCGAAGGCGACUGCCUGGGGAGUAACUGACGCUGAGGCGCGAAAGCUAGGGGAGCGAACAGG